UAGCUUGGGAAUCUAGCUUAUGGAGGGGGAUAACUACGGGAAACUGUAGCUAAUACCGCGUAGUAUCGAGAGAUGAAAGUGUGGGACCUUCGGGCCACAUGCCAUAGGAUGAGCCCAAGUGGGAUUAGGUAGUUGGUGAGGUAAAGGCUCACCAAGCCGACGAUCUCUAGCUGGUCUGAGAGGAUGACCAGCCACACUGGGACUGAGACACGGCCCAG
rnacentral:rRNA from 1 species